rnacentral:rRNA from 1 species
UACAGAGGGUGCGAGCGUUGUUCGGAAUUAUUGGGCGUAAAGGGCGCGUAAGCGGUGCGGUAAGUCACCUGUGAAAUCUCCUGGCUCAACUGGGAGCUUGCAGGCGAAACUGCCGUGCUGGAGUGUGGGAGAGGUGCGUGGAAUUCCUGGUGUAGCGGUGAAAUGCGUAGAUAUCAGGAGGAACACCUGUGGCGAAAGCGGCGCACUGGACCACAACGAUGCGCUGGAGGCGCGAAAGCUAGGGGGAGCAAACAGG